CCUACGGGAGGCAGCAGUAGGGAAUUUUCGUCAAUGGGCGCAAGCCUUAACGAGCAAUGCCGCGUGAACGAGGAAGGUCUUCGGAUCGUAAAGUUCUGUUGAAGGGGAAAAAGAGCGGAGAGAGGAAAUGGUCUCCGAUUGAUAUUACCCUUCGAGGAAGUCACGGCUAACUACGUGCCAGCAGCCGCGGUAAUACGUAGGUGGCGAGCGUUAUCCGGAAUGAUUGGGCGUAAAGGGUGCGUAGGCGGCCUGCUAAGUCUGGAGUGAAAGGUACCGGCUCGACCGGUACAGGCUCUGGAAACUGGCGGGCUAGAGAGCAGGAGAGGGCGGUGGAACUCCAUGUGUAGCGGUAAAAUGCGUAGAUAUAUGGAAGAACACCAGUGGCGAAGGCGGCCGCCUGGCCUGUUGACUGACGCUGAGGCACGAAAGCGUGGGGAGCAAAUAGGAUUAGAUACCCUAGUAGUC
rnacentral:rRNA from 1 species